rnacentral:ncRNA from 1 species
AGAUUGUUAAUGGUGGUUUUUAACGGUUUGAUAAACAGCGAAUUAUUGUUCAGGUCCACAUUGCCACGGGCGUGAACCUGCUCACCAUCCAGCGGGAUAUCCAGAUUCAGGUGGCCGCCGACGCGGCCUUUGAUUUCCAGCUGCUCCAGCGCGGCACCCAGUGAAGGUUUCAGCGGAGUCUGCCCGAAAUAGUCCGCGAUCUGCUGGCCUUCACCACUGAUAUCACCCUCAAUGAUCAGUUUUUCUUUCAGGUAGUCGGGGAUGACCGCAGUGACGUUGCGCGCGUCCACCUCGCCCAGUUUCGCCACCGGCGCUUUCAUCCAGAGACCGUCAUUCAGGAAGUUAAGGUCGAUAUCGAGAUUGCUUAACGCUGGCCAUUUGGGCUGAAACGCAUAAGUUGCCUGGCGAAGCGGCACC